rnacentral:rRNA from 1 species
GGUGAACGCUGGCGGUGGGCCUAACACAUGCAAGUCGAACGGCAGCACAGUAAGAGCGUGCGCUUCCGGAGGGCGAGUGGCGGACGGGUGAGGAGUAUAUCGGACUCUACUUUUUCGGGGGGGUUAACGUAGGGGAACUUACGCUAAUACCGCAUCCGACCUACGGGUGAAAGGAGGGGAUCUUCGGACCUUGCGCGGUUGAAUGAGCCGAUGUCGGAGUAGCUAGUGGGCGGGGUAAAGGCCAACCAAGGCGAGGAUACGUAGCUGGUCGGAGAGGAUGGUCAGCCACACUGGAAGUUAGACACGGACCAGACUCCUAAGGGAGGCAGCAGUGGGGAAUAGUGGACAAUAGGCGCAAGCCUGAUCCAGCCAUACCGCGUGGGUGAAGAAGGCCUUCGGGUUGUAAAGCCGUUUUGUUGGGAAAGAAAAGCAGCAGGUUAAUACCCCGCUGUUCUGACGGUACCCAAAGAAUAAGCACCGGCUAACUUCGUG